ensembl:lncRNA
ACCUAAGACAGCCUUCAACAGGAAGACUUUUAGCAUUUGACAAGUCCUAAUUAGGUUUGUCAAAAUUGAAAAGUGGUGCAGGCCAGCGGGCACUGUCUCUUGCUGGCCAGUGGGCCUCAGAGUUGGGCUAUGAAAGGGGCGGCUUCUCUGCUCACUCCUCAUCUGAGAGCCCUGCUGGGGUCUGGAGAAAUCAAAGGUGCCCCCUCAGUGACAGACACCUUGCAGCAAAGCCUCUAGCUCUGCUCCUUGGGUUCAAGGACAAAGCUGUGGGAAAGGGAAACAGGAGGGAGCCAAGGCUGAAAGACUAAAAGUCCUGGCGGUUACCUGAGGGAGAUAGCACUCUGGGGUCUAGCCCCCUCUUCUCAGCCCACCUGCACUUUUCUGAAGCAAGCUGAGAGCCCACCUCCUUUUCCUCUGCCUGGAAAGUUCUUUCACCAGGGCCUGGGUGAGUUGGAGCCAACCAUCAGCACAACCCCUUCCACGUAGCACCAGCUGAAGGUUCUCAAGGACGGCAGAGUUUCUCACUGGCCUGCAGAGGACCUGGAGCCAAGGUAGAGGGGAGUGGACGCCCAUCUCCUGUCAAUUCUGAGCCUAGGUCCCCUCCUUCCCUCUCCAUCCUCAGCCUCAUCCUGCCCGCUGCAGCCAACCAAGAAUGAGUCCACGCGGGGCCCCUUCCGAGGUCACUGAGCUCAGAAGCACGAAGAGCACCAAUACCCUCAAUGAGUGGCUGCCCGACUGCGCUGCACCCGGAGGGGCUGUCUGAGUGACAGAAACGGAAGGUCAUCUCCCUGCAGAGGAUUCCAGUCCCUGCAAGGACGAGAGAUCUGCCUACCCGCGGAGCGAACUCAGAAGGCCGGGCCGACGUUCACCGGAAGGAGCUCCGCAGCCUGCAAGAGUCCCGCCUGGCUAGAGCGUCUGGGAUCAUCGAGGCCGCCUCCGUGCGGAGAAAAUAACACCCCCGUCCUCCCUGGGUGCCCUGAACAGACUUUCCCCCGCUCCUCCCAGAGCUGGGGAUCAAUUCUGCUCUUCGUUUUCCGCUUGCUAUGAGCAUCCCCUCGGGCUACGUUAUGACUCUCCGUGCCUCAAUUUCCUCCUUUAGGCAAAUCUGAGCUGUGUACUUUGGAGCCAGCGUUUUCCGCACCAGCGCCGCCGAAGUUCCCGCGUCUCGAUCAGCUCCUCGCAGAGCACUCUUGUCUGGCAACUUGUGAUUCCUGAAAUCUGGGUUUCUUGGUCCACCUGGGAAAGACAAGGAGGUGGUGGGUUGAACACUGAGUCCCUGCUGCCCCUCGGUCCGGCUGGGCGACAGCGAUCACGCGGCCACCGUGCUCAACCCACAGCUGCAGCCGCGGUGGCGCCGUGGUAGGCCCAGGCUUGGAGCUCGCAUUUCCUGGGCCGACAUAGCUUAACGGGGUGGCCACCAACUCCGGGGCCUCAGCACCCAAGCCAGAGGGCACAAAGGUCCAUGGGUCAGAUCUGAGAGGCUGGGAAAGCGCCCGUGUCACAAGCAAUGUGAGUUCCGCGCUGCCGAGAACCGGGACUGCGAACUUUUCGCCGGCCUCUGAGUGCAGCUCGAAAAAUUCCGAGCCGUACAGACCGCCAGGACGUCAGGGCCAGGUCACCAAGUACACCAAGGGCUCGGUUCGGGUUCACAAGGACAGGUGACCAGACCCUUGAUUUUUCCACCUGCAACUAAGAACUUUAACCACUGGCCCUGAAUCUCAAUGUGCGCGGGUUGUUUAAACGCUGAAAUUCACCGCUUCCACUUCCGAGGAGCCGGCGGCCCAGAACGAUUCUUGGACACGCAAACUGGAAGACGAGAAACGUCCCUUCCAUCCAGAAUGAAAAGGGUCCCAGAUUCAAAGAGGCAGCCCUUCUGGGUGUCCCAUGGGGAGUUUCUAUUCCCAGGGGAGGGGAAGCGUGGCCCCCGCCCAACCAUCCUAACAGGCAGCGGAUCCAGCCUCGCGCCGCCCCUGGCCGUUGGGAAGCUGAAGAGGAGGUUAGCGGGCCCUGCCUGCUGCUCGGUCAGGUGCAGACCUUUCCGGAGCGCCCCAGUUGGCACGUCUAAUUUGGGCGCAGGCAGGCUGCCCCAAGCUUGAGUGCCGGCCCUUUCAAAAAGCACCCACAGCGGGCAACUUUCCCUUCCCUCCAGUUUCACAAACCCGAAAUUCCAAGCAGAAGUCACGCUUUCUCAGGAUAACCAGAGGAAAAUACUGCCCCCCACCCCCUUCUUUCCGUUCUUUAUUAAUUUCAUGGUGAGUUUUAGGAGAAGUGGCUUAAGGUCUGAGCGAUCCUCCUUUGGUCUCAACGCCUGCCUUUUUUGCUCCCUCUAUCUAGGAGCCUCCGGUCAGGAGCUACUCCGACCCCACCCCAGGAGUUUCAGAGUGUCCAUGGCUUGGCCCGUUGUUCUAGCCCGGUCUAGCUUCUGUUCUUCCUUGACCUCUCUGACAGUGACUGCAAUCCGGGGUCCUGGGUCUUCUCUCCUAAGGCUCCCACAUGAACAUCCAUUAUGUUCUCCCUGGCUCUGUGACACCCGUUCUCCCCAGCCAUGUCCACACUGUAAACUGACUGAAGUUUUCCUGUUUCUUUUUUUAAAAAAGGUUUAAGUAAAUGGGCAUUUGGGAUUCCUUGGUGGCUCACAUGGUAAAGUGCCUGCAAUGCAGGAGACCCGAGUUCGAUCUCUGAGUCGGGAAGAUUCCCUGGAGAAGGAAAUGGCAACCCAUUCCAGUAUUCUUGCCUGGAAAAUUCCAUGGAAGGAGGAGCCUGGCAGGCUACGUCCAUAGGUCUCAAAGAGUCAGACAUGACUGACUUCAUUUCAAACAGGCAUUUAUCAAGAUUAUUCGGGCCACCAAGAAGCAUCCUGAUCCCACGCAAAUGAAAUCCCCAGACAACUGAGAAAACAGUAAUAUUAAUUGAAGCAGCUACAUAUAAGAGAUUAGGAUAUAAAUGGCAUAUAAAAGUCCAGAAUCUAUUAAGAGCUGGAAAUAGAAACACAGGACACACACGUCUACAUAUACUUCUUAGAUUCAAUGUUAGAUUCAAGGUCAGAGUCGAGAAGGGAUCAAUCUAAUCCAAUUUCCUCAGUUUAUGAAUAAGGAAACAGGCCCAGAGAAAGCCAGGGACCCUCGCAAGGUCGCAUAGCAGAGGAGUCCAAAGAAUCCAAUUCUGACUCCCAACGCACUGCCCAUCCUACUCCGGCUCAGGUGCUUGCUGCUUUAGGAAUCACAGAGCAAACAGCUUUAGCUCUCACGAGGCGAGGGGAUUCCGUGAAGGAUCCCCUUCCUGCAAUCUUGUCUCUCCCCCGUCUGGUGUGGACUGUCCGGAAACGGUCUGAAUCUCCCGGCCCUGGGAGUUCAGGUCAAACCUCUCCCCCAUAGCCUCCUCUACCCGAGCAACACAGGUGCAGUUCUCCUAGAGCACCGAUAGGUGGCGCGUUCCUCACAGGAAAACCAGCCGGGAAUCCUCCCCCGCUCCUAGGACCCUGCUCCCUGCCUUAAGAACCCGCCUAGGGUCCCUCUUGAAAGAAAUAGGGUAGAAAGGGGUCCAGCAGAGGGGCUCAGGCUCGUGCCGGAGGUUUGAAAAGACCCUAGAAACCUUGAUUCUAGUCUUUCGGCUCAGAGUGACCACACUUUUAAGAGGCUAAAGAGCUUCUAGCGCAAAGGGCAAGGCUCUGCUCACUGGCCCAGAGACAACACCGGGACUUACCAGGGUCACCCCUAGGGGGCGUUAUCUCCCCUCAACAAGCGCGUCCACGAACCCGCUCCUUCACGCAAGCUGGGCUGCUGCCUUUCUCUACCACUAUCCCCAGGCCCCAUUCUUCCGCCUAUUUUUUUUUUUUUUCCAAAUAUUG